AUUGAACGCUGGCGGCAGGCCUAACACAUGCAAGUCGAGCGGGGUUUUCGGACCUAGCGGCGGACGGGUGAGUAAUGCGUAGGAAGCUGCCCGAUAGAGGGGGAUACCAGUUGGAAACGACUGUUAAUACCGCAUAAUGUCUACGGACCAAAGUGUGGGACCUUCGGGCCACAUACUAUCGGAUGCGCCUACGUGGGAUUAGCUAGUUGGUGAGGUAAUGGCUCACCAAGGCGACGAUCUCUAGCUGGUUUGAGAGGAUGAUCAGCCACACUGGAACUGAGACAAGGUCCAGACUCCUACGGGAGGCAGCAGUGGGGAAGAUUGGACAAGGGGCGCAAGCCUGAUCCAGCCAUGCCGCGUGUGUGAAGAAGGCCUUCGGGUUGUAAAGCACUUUCAGCGAGGAGGAAGGGGUGUGUGUUAAUAGUACACACCUUUGACGUUACUCGCAGAAGAAGCACCGGCUAACUCUGUGCCAGCCGCCGCCGUAACAC
rnacentral:rRNA from 1 species